UACGUAGGGCGCAAGCGUUUGUCCGGAAUUAUUGGGCGUAAAGAGCUCGUAGGCGGUCUGUCACGUCUGCCGUGAAAAACCCGAGGCUUAACCUCGUGGCUUGCGGUGGAUACGGGCAGACUAGAGGUAGGUAGGGGAGAACGGAAUUCCCGGUGUAGCGGUGAAAAUGCGCAGAUAUCGGGAGGAACACCGGUGGCGAAGGCGGUUCUCUGGGCCUUACCUGACGCUGAGGAGCGAAAGCAUGGGGAGCGAACAGG
rnacentral:rRNA from 1 species